CUAAACAUGCUUUAUCAACGUAAUAAACUUUAUAAAAACAUUUAUUUUUAUUUUUUUAUUAAUUAUCAAGUAUAAAGAACAAUGCAUAGUGUGAAAACGCGGAUCAUAAAAAAGUAUAUUAAGUGCGAGCAGAGGAUCAAGAAGAAACAACGCCAAAGGACUUCAUUUCCCAGGAUGCACCUGCACCCACUCAUCUGCCUUCAGGUGCGACCGCUUUACCUAUGGGCUUGACGGGAAGAUUCAAAAUCGCGAACCGUUACUGCAUGGAGUUGGUCUCUUUGUUUGCUCAUCGACAUUACGAGGUCAUGUACACUGUGGUCAACUUUGUGGACGAUGAAGAGGUUUCUAGGUAAAGAUGAUAGAAAUAUAAUGAAGUAACAGUGAAAGCUAAAACAUCAGACUGAUCCAGACACUGAAGAAAUUGAUGUCACUGCAAUCUGGCCAAAAUGAUACAACUAUAUUGAACUAGCCUACUGUAAUGAAGCUGCAGAACAACACAGAGACUCUGAGGACAUCAACACAGAAAAUGAAGGCUCCAAAGAGAUGUCUGUCCAGAUGAGGGUGCAUCAACUUUACCUUUGCUGACAACAGUUAACUUAACUCAAACCAUUUAAGGAAAUCGGUUGCCUUAAACCAUUAAGUUUUAAAAAACAUACAUUUAACUACUGUGAACUUAAGUCUUGUGCAAUUAUGCACUUAUAUUUAGGUAGUGUGAACUUAAAUAUAAGUGCAUAACUGCAUGUGACUCAAUUUUUUUAAGUUCACAGUACUCAAAUCUAUGUGUUUUAAAACUUCAAUGGUUUUAAAUGUGAGAAAUGACAGUGUUACAGUGAGAAAUGUUUGAAUAAUUCCAAGACAGAGCUCUGCUAUUGAAUCUACACUGCAAAAAAUCACUUUCUAACUUAGGAUUUUUAUCUUGUCUCAGUAGAAAAACUAAAAAUUCUUAAAUCAAGAUGUA